CCGCCUGGGGAGUACGGCCGCAAGGUUAAAACUCAAAUGAAUUGACGGGGGCCCGCACAAGCGGUGGAGCAUGUGGUUUAAUUCGAUGCAACGCGAAGAACCUUACCUGGUCUUGACAUCCACAGAAUUCUGCAGAGAUGCGGAAGUGCCUUCGGGAACUGUGAGACAGGUGCUGCAUGGCUGUCGUCAGCUCGUGUUGUGAAAUGUUGGGUUAAGUCCCGCAACGAGCGCAACCCUUAUCCUUUGUUGCCAGCGGUUAGGCCGGGAACUCA
rnacentral:rRNA from 1 species